AGCUCUCAGCCAUUGAUCCAGUGCCAUGCCUGCCUGCCUGUCUGCUGCUGUGCUCCUUGUUAUGAUGGCCACGGACUCUUAACCCUCUAAAACUAGAAGAAGAAUGAUGAGAAAGGUGGAGGAGAAACAAAGAGAGGAGAAAGGAAGAGGAGGAAGGAAGAUCUUCUUUAAAGAUGUACAGUCUAAAGCAUCAAGAAGCUUCACCUCCAGGGCUGGAAAGGUGACUCAGCUGGAGAGAUGGCUCAGUGGUUACUUGCUGCUCUUCCAGAGGACCUGAGUUUUGUUUCCAAGCACACAUGUUAGGCAGCACACAAGGGUCUGGAACUCUACUUUCAUGGAUUCCAACACACGCCCUGGCCUCUAUGAGUCACACACACACACACACACACACACACACACACACACACACACACACACACAUUUUAAAAAAGGAAUUCAAAAGAAGCUGCACCUUCCACCCACCAGAUGGGUAAAUUGAUGGUUAGCUAGAGCGAGGCAUUCAAAGAAGUGAAAUCAGAACACACACAUUCCCGGUGAGGAUGCAGCUUCUGUGAAGAGGAGCCUAAAAGUAACUAUGAGAAUUUAAGACACACGUAUCCACUGAGUCAGCAAUUCUACUUCCAGGAAUUUAUCCAACAAACAUCUUUGCACAUUUCUUUGGGAAACAUGGAGUGUAGAAUAACAACCAUUAUAACAGUGUUUGCAAGAAUAAAAAGCUAUCCAUAAGUAUGAUAUAGCCACUAAUAAAACACUAUGGGCACCAAAAGAA